rnacentral:lncRNA from 1 species
GCCUCCAGAGUAGCUGGGACUACAGGCGCCUGCCACUACGCCUGGCUGAUUUUUUGUAUUUUUAGUAGAGACAGGGUUUCACCGUGUUAGCCAGGAUGGUCUUGAUCUCCUGAUCUCGUGAUCCGCCCACCUCGGCCUCCCGAAGUGCUGGGAUUUCAGGCGUGAGCCACCGCGCCGGGCCCACGGAUGGAUUCUUAAGCAGUUGCCAUACAAUGUGCUGUGCAAUCAUUGCACACCCUCAAUGACCAGAUUUCCCAUUUUAUUGUCACCAAGUCGAAGGCACUGGAGGAGGACAAAGACCCUUUUCUACCCACUGAGAAGGAGACUCUGAAGAGUUCCAUGAUAUUGAUGAGGCACCUCUUAAUGGAUGCUCAGGGUAGUCACUCACUGAGGACAAACUGUUGAGAGCAGGACCCAAACUGAGCAGUAUAAAGACAAGGGAAAGAGAAGGUAAAGAUAAAAGUGGAAGAAGUGCCUAGAGGUUUCAUGCAAAAUAAGACUCACACCACAUUGGACAGGCAGACCUGUAAACAAUUACCAUCCCUUUGUGGAUGAUUUUCAAUAUGUUUUAGACUCAGUGCUUGACCUUCACAACUAUAUUCGAAAGAUUCCCUUCUUGCUCAUCAAGCUUCUCGGCCUAAGGUCAUAUUUCUUCAGAAUUUUGAAUCAUAAAGCACAGUGAAGUGUUCAUCACAUAAGGUAAUAGCUAUUUCUUCUUAAGUCAUUUUAUCUGAGUUAAUGGCUACUAAUGGGUUAAUAUAUAAUUGUCCAUAGGACUAUUUGCAUUUUGAAAUAAGACUCAUGGAGAAAAGAGAAACUGAGUUAGAGGGAGGAGAUAUUCGGGCUUUUGGCAGGUGGCAGCCUUGUCCUUUCAGGUAAAAUCCAAGGAGAGGCCUUGGUGGCAAUUUGUUCUUUCUUCUUUCCUUUCCAG